rnacentral:rRNA from 2 species
GACCCGUCUUGAAACACGGACCAAGAAGUCUAUCUUGCGCGCAAGUCAAUGGGAGUAGCAAACCCAAAGGCGAAGAUAACACAACUGCGUUAAGUCGUUGCGGGAUUACGGGUGCACCACAGUCCGCAAGGAUUGGCUAGCUGUGCCGCCCCUCCAUCCCCGGGUGUUUAGCUGCGGUUCUGUAAUGUCGCGGACCCCCCGCCGGGGUGGGCAUUUGCAGUUCCAACGCGACAUACCGCGAGCGCGUAGGAUGUGACCCGAAAGAUGGUGAACUAUGCCUGAUCAGGUUGAAGUCAGGGGAAACCCUGAUGGAGGACCGAAGCAAUUCUGACGUGCAAAUCGAUUGUCAGAGUUGGGCAUAGGGGCGAAAGACCAAUCGAACCAUCUAGUAGCUGGUUCCUUCCGA